GCUGGUCAAGGUGCUUAUAUGAUAAUGCUUUGUAAUUUUUUUAUAUAUGAUACUACUAUUUAGAUAUUAGAUACCAGAAGUCCAGUUUACAUAUGUAAUUCAUUACAAAGACUUCAAGUUAGUAGAAAAUUUGAGAACGAUGAGAGAUUCCUAAAUAUGGAAGAUGAAAGUCAAGUUUUAAUCUUGGCCUUAGGAGUCGUCGAGCUUGUUUUUAAGCCUAAUAGUGUCAUUUUAAGUGAUUGUUACUAUUGUCUAUCUU
rnacentral:lncRNA from 1 species